UCUGAAGUCCGGGCUCUGAACUCUUACUUCGUCUUCUCCUCGGAAUUAACGCGUCACUAAAACAACAAGAUACCGAAGUCGUUGAAAAGCAGAUACACGCGUCGAGAGAAAAAAACAAAAUUUCACACCUACCGCGCGCGCGAGUGAGUCGGGAGAGACCGACGGAUAUUUUUUACAGCGGCAGGACCGUCCCGUCUGCGCCCCUCCUGGAGCAUCCGCCUCCCCGCGCGCCCGCCCGCACGCGCCGCUCCUUUCCAUACAGUUCUCCAGGAGGACCCGGUCCCUGUCAGUCCUCACACACACACACACACACACACGGACAGCUGCACUGCCGACCAACAACCAUGGCACGGAACAAUGCCUGCUGUCUACUCGUCGGACUUCUGGCCCUCUUUCACACCUGGGGAGCGACGGCCGACGUGGAGGUGAACAUGAUGGACCGGGUGGAGGCGUUCAGGGGAGAAGCGGUUUCCAUCAGCUGCAUGUUCACGUCGUCCGAAGGCGUCGGUGGCAUAAUGAUCCAGUGGUUCUAUGUGACGUUGUCGGGCGAGAAGCAGAAGAUCUACUACCAGGACGCCACCAUGAAGGUGGUGGACAAAGGCACGCAGUUCACCGACCGGAUCAGCGUGAGCGGCACCGGCGGCACCGGAGAGGUCGUGUUGACCAUCAGCGACGUGGAGCUGAGAGACGAGGUGGAGUUCAUCUGUCUCAUCAAAGGGCUCACGGAGGGGACCGGGGAGGGACGCACCAAGCUCAGAGUGUUCGUGUCACCGGAACUUCCCAACAUUGAGGGAGUCCAAACGGGGAUCUCAGUCAACCAAGACGGCCCAUCCAAGAUUGGGACCUGCGAGGUCAAAAAUGGCUACCCCAGGCCGAACAUCACCUGGUACAGAAACAACACCCCGCUGCGCGGCAAUCACGAUGUGGUGAAGGUGUUGCCCAGCAUCACCACCGAAUCCAGCGGUCUGUUCUCCGUCAAGAGCGAGCUGCGCAUGAAGGUGGUGAAGGAGGACAAAGACGAUCUGUUCUACUGCGAGGUCAAGUACUUUGUUCCCGGAGCCGAAAUAAUGACCGAGACCAACACUAUUAACAUCACUGUGUACUACCCCUCCACGGCGGUGAGUGUAUGGGUGGAGUCGCCGAAGGGAAACAUCAAGGAAGGCGACUCAAUCGAGCUGCAAUGUCGCGGCAACGGGAAUAUGCCUUCUUCAAUCUUAUCCAUCACGCACAAAAGCGUUAACUUGCCUCUAUCCAACAACGUGCUGCUGCUGGACAACGUGACCCGUCUCCACGGCGGAGUUUACGAAUGCACCUCGACGGACACGGACACCUUCGAGGAGCUCUCGGGAAACACCAGCGUGUCGGUCCACUAUCUGGAUCCUGCCGUCGUGAUGCCCGAAGACGCCGUGGUGGCCCAAGGAGAGGAGAUCACGGCCACCUGCAACGCCCUCUCUUCUCUGAAGACACGCACAUCCUGGAUGAAGAAUGGAAAAGAAGUUUCAAAGGCCCACACUCUGGUCCUGAAGGACGCUACGUUCGACUCGGCCGGGAUGUACGUGUGCGUGGUCAAUGUGCUGGACAUCGAAGGGAUGGAAACCAGCGGGACACUGAAUGUCAAAGUCGAGGGCGCGCCGAAGAUUACGACGCCACUCGACACCGAGAUAGAGGAGAGUUACAAGAGCACGGUCCACCUGAGCUGCAGCGUCAGGGGAUUCCCGACUCCCACCGUUACCUGGACCACCUCCGAUGGAAAGAUCCUCAAUUCGACAUCAGAAACGGAGAACGAGGGCGAAGUCCAGAGCAGCGUCAGCGUCACGGUCACCGGCGACAUGGCGGCGUCCUGCAACGCCUCCAACAAGUUCGGCGCCGACUCGGCGACCUUCAACAUCAAAGCCAUGUGUCUAACAAAGAGUGUCCCUCUCCCUUCUGUGCCUUGUACCUGUUUUCAGCAAUACACACCACCACACCAGCCACCACUACUACCAGUACUCCCAUUACCUCCAGCACAGUCAAAUCACAAAGUGAAAUCUCAGCAGAGGCAGUCAAGAAAGAGAGCAAAGGCGUCAUCAUCGCCGUCAUCAUCGUCUGCAUCCUGCUGCUCGCCAUCUUGGGCAGCGUGCUCUACUUCCUGUACAAAAAGGGAAAGAUCUGUGGGCGGUCCGGCAAGCAAGACCUCACGAAGGAGAAGUCGGGCAGAGACAACAUCGUGGUGGAGAUGAAGAGCGACAACACCGAGGAGGCCGUUCUGCUCGGGGUCAACGGGGAGAAGCAACCUCUCGGCAACCAGUGAAGGCAGCUGCGUACCUGGACGUCCAGACGUGAGAAGACGCUCCUGUUCCCUCCUCUCAGGCUCAGACCGGCCGAUGCCUUCAGGCUCCACCACAGCCACGUUUAUCCCAGAGUUAUAAUGUGUCAGUCAAUAUCAACGGUCUCGAGUUAUUCUGUGGCUGCAGCUUUCGCUUAACUGUCCGUCGCGUCCAGCGAAUCCUCCCGUUGGAGCGAGCUUUGGGUCAUUUUUAAGCCCUCCGUGCCGUAACUCUGAGAAUAAAUCUGAAAGUCGGACCGUCUGGUUCUGACCGAAAGGCCCAAAGGCCUCGUAAACUGCUGAUUGUCUGUAGAACAAUAAUUUGAGCACGGACUGUUUUUUUUAUUAUACCCGACUACACAUCACCUCAGGCAAAAAGUAAUCACCGAAGAGCGAUCCUGAAACAAGCUCUUCAUCAAGUGUACAUAUUAUAUUCUAUGUAUAUAUUUCUUUAUUUAAAAAUAACACAAUAGAAAAAAUUAAAAAAUUAAAAAAUUAAAAAAAAGACCAGAUAGUGUUUUUAUUUAGUUCGGAUGCAACAAGUAGAUGUUUUUAUUUGUUUUUAUUUGUAAUAUUUGUUGGUCUGUUUAUGCUUAAAUCUGUACACUGAACAGUUACAGCAACGCCUUUAAGCCCCGAAAACAAACUAUUUAGGUCAUUUAAAUCACAACUUUUCACAUUUGUGUCUUCUCUAAAAAUAAAAGAUAACGCUCUCGUCUUCACACUUACAUUUGUUUAUAUUGCGAAAUAUUUAUUUUUUGCAAGACGGGUCGAAUAAUAUUUUCAGCAUUUGAGACAGAAGGUGGUUAUUUGUAGCGUUCUUUAAUUUGUAGUUUUUGAUGUGUUGUGUGUUUCGAGUGGACGUUAAAAAAGUUACAGACGCCUUUUAGUAAUUAGAAAUAAAAUAAAAACCUGAAAGAUUUUUAAAAAUUCUCUUGGUUAUAUUUCUAUUUAAUGUUCAGUGCACUGAUUUAUUUGUGGUUAUUCUUUAUUAUGCAUUUCUGUUUUCACUAAUGUGAAACAGGUGUUUUUUUGGUUGAAUGUGACUGUAUGUGAAUAAAAAAUUUAAAAUAAAGUAUUUUUGUCGCCGCGUUAGUUCGAAUGAGGGAAGAACAGAUUUGGGGUAAAAUAUGGUUCAUGGCAUGAAGUUACUCCCCUCAAAAGGAAAAAAAGACAUGAUUCUGUAGAAUGAAUUUUAUUUUUUCAUGUUUUGACUGAAUCUUGAAGUAAAUCUGUUGGUUCCCAGAGACGUGUGAUAAUCCCCCUCAGACAUGAUGACCGACGACAAUGACGACCGAGGAGAGAGAAUGACUGACAAGGAUGCAGAUUAUGUUUGUACAACAAUGAAUUAUGCAACGCGCUCGCUGCUCAGCGAUGUGCAGGUAUCGUCCGUAAUCACCCUUCCUGCCACUGUCGGUCGAGUUUGGAUGUUUGCAAUCUGUAAAAAAAAAAAUGCCUUUGGGAAGUUGUGAAAUGUACCUUUAAUGUCGUUUAUGACGUUCAAACCGAUUCGCCAACAAAUUGGUUUCAUUUGUAGUUUUAUUUUGAAAAUUAUACCAAAUAAAGAUUUGACUGUUAAAUGAAAAGAA